rnacentral:rRNA from 1 species
GAUGAACGCUGGCGGCGUGCCUAAUACAUGCAAGUCGAGCGAACAGACGAGGAGCUUGCUCCUCUGACGUUAGCGGCGGACGGGUGAGUAACACGUGGAUAACCUACCUAUAAGACUGGGAUAACUUCGGGAAACCGGAGCUAAUACCGGAUAAUAUAUUGAACCGCAUGGUUCAAUAGUGAAAGACGGUUUUGCUGUCACUUAUAGAUGGAUCCGCGCCGCAUUAGCUAGUUGGUAAGGUAACGGCUUACCAAGGCGACGAUGCGUAGCCGACCUGAGAGGGUGAUCGGCCACACUGGAACUGAGACACGGUCCAGACUCCUACGUGAGGCAGCAGUAGGGAAUCUUCCGCAAUGGGCGAAAGCCUGACGGAGCAACGCCGCGUGAGUGAUGAAGGUCUUCGGAUCGUAAAACUCUGUUAUUAGGGAAGAACAAAUGUGUAAGUAACUAUGCACGUCUUGACGGUACCUAAUCAGAAAGCCACGGCUAACUACGUG